rnacentral:rRNA from 1 species
UACACUCCUACGGGAGGCAGCAGUGGGGAAUAUUGCCCAAUGGGCGCAAGCCUGAUGCAGCCAUGCCGCGUGUAUGAAGAAGGCCUUCGGGUUGUAAAGUACUUUCAGCGGGGAGGAAGGUGUUGAGGUUAAUAACCUCAGCAAUUGACGUUACCCGCAGAAGAAGCACCGGCUAACUCCGUGCCAGCAGCCGCGGUAAUACGGAGGGUGCAAGCGUUAAUCGGAAUUACUGGGCGUAAAGCGCACGCAGGCGGUCUGUCAAGUCGGAUGUGAAAUCCCCGGGCUCAACCUGGGAACUGCAUUCGAAACUGGCAGGCUAGAGUCUUGUAGAGGGGGGUAGAAUUCCAGGUGUAGCGGUGAAAUGCGUAGAGAUCUGGAGGAAUACCGGUGGCGAAGGCGGCCCCCUGGACAAAGACUGACGCUCAGGUGCGAAAGCGUGGGGAGCAAACAGGAUUAGAAACCCUAGUAGUCCC